rnacentral:rRNA from 1 species
UUGCGGGAGCUUGCUCCCAAAAGUUAGCGGCGGACGGGUGAGUAACACGUGGGCAACCUGCCUAUAAGACUGGGAUAACUUCGGGAAACCGGAGCUAAUACCGGAUAAUUCUUUUCUACACAUGUAGGAAAGCUAAAAGACGGUUUACGCUGUCACUUAUAGAUGGGCCCGCGGCGCAUUAGCUAGUUGGUGAGGUAACGGCUCACCAAGGCCACGAUGCGUAGCCGACCUGAGAGGGUGAUCGGCCACACUGGGACUGAGACACGGCCCAGACUCCUACGGGAGGCAGCAGUAGGGAAUCUUCCGCAAUGGACGAAAGUCUGACGGAGCAACGCCGCGUGAGUGAUGAAGGUUUUCGGA